AGUCGAGCGCCCCGCAAGGGGAGCGGCAGACGGGUGAGUAACGCGUGGGAAUCUACCGAGCCCUACGGAAUAACGCAUGGAAACGUGUGCUAAUACCGUAUACGCCCUACGGGGGAAAGAUUUAUCGGGGUUUGAUGAGCCCGCGUUGGAUUAGCUAGUUGGUGGGGUAAAGGCCUACCAAGGCGACGAUCCAUAGCUGGUCUGAGAGGAUGAUCAGCCACAUUGGGACUGAGACACGGCCCAAACUCCUACGGGAGGCAGCAGUGGGGAAUAUUGGACAAUGGGCGCAAGCCUGAUCCAGCCAUGCCGCGUGAGUGAUGAAGGUCUUAGGAUUGUAAAGCUCUUUCACCGACGAAGAUAAUGACGGUAGUCGGAGAAGAAGCCCCGGCUAACUUCGUGCCAGCAGCCGCGGUAAUACGAAGGGGGCUAGCGUUGUUCGGAAUUACUGGGCGUAAAGCGCAUGUAGGCGGAUAUUUAAGUCAGGGGUGAAAUCCCAGAGCUCAACUCUGGAACUGCCUUUGAUACUGGGUAUCUCGAGUAUGGAAGAGGUGAGUGGAAUUCCGAGUGUAGAGGUGAAAUUCGUAGAUAUUCGGAGGAACACCAGUGGCGAAGGCGGCUCACUGGUCCAU
rnacentral:rRNA from 1 species